UGGGGAAUAUUGCACAAUGGGGGAAACCCUGAUGCAGCGACGCCGCGUGAAGGAAGAAGUAUCUCGGUAUGUAAACUUCUAUCAGCAGGGAAGAAAAUGACGGUACCUGACUAAGAAGCCCCGGCUAACUACGUGCCAGCAGCCGCGGUAAUACGUAGGGGGCAAGCGUUAUCCGGAUUUACUGGGUGUAAAGGGAGCGUAGACGGAGCAGCAAGUCUGAUGUGAAAGGCGGGGGCUCAACCCCGGACUGCAUUGGAACUGUUGAUCUUGAGUACCGGAGAGGUCAAGGCGGAAUUGACCGUAGUGUAGCGGUGAAAUGCGUAGAUAUUAGGAGGAACACCAGUGGCGAAGGCGGCUUACUGGACGGUAACUGACGUUGAGGCUCGAAAGCGUGGGGAGCAAACAGGAUUAGAUACCC
rnacentral:rRNA from 1 species